CUAAAACAUUGGACUCAUUCCUAUUUCUUUCGUCUUUCUAAGGCUGUGGCCCCUGCCUGGAAUGCCCUCCCUUGCCAGUGCUUAGUCAUGCCCCCCAGAGUUCCGAGUUAACUUCUUGUGUGUACAGCUUUUGCCUUCCCAGCUCAUACUCAGUGCUGGGCUGGUCCUGCAAUCUGCGUUCUUGGUUUUGAAGAGCUUCUUUAUUAGACUUACACUGUUUUUAAAGCUUCGUUAUUUGACCCUGUGGCAGAAAACUAUGGAAUCCAAGCUGUGGAUAUUUCCUGAGUUCCCACCUGUGUCUGACCAGGUACAGGUUUAAGGUAACACAGGAACCAAAACACUGAGAGCAGGAGAGAGGAGCGAGGAACACGCGGCAGCUUCUGCGCAGGUGAGGCGUGCGCGCUGGGCACGGCGGUUUGGCCCUCUCCACGCACCAUGGAGCCUCGUGACGUCGCUCAGGACUGAGAACCACUGGAACCUCUCCAAAUCUUAGCUUUUUUCUCAGAGAACCCCCUUGAGUUAACUUGAUAAACUAAAACAAUUUUUGCAGCAGGCUAAAUCGGAUCAACCGUAGAGCAUUAAUCACGCUACAGUGAUGAGGCGAAAAGUCCUUAGACACGAAGGAACCAAGAGAACGAUUUGUAAAGGACUUAGAAAAACUACAAAAUAUACCUUCACUAAGAUUUCCGAUCAGGAUUCAGAGUAGCAGGGCUGUCUGAGAUGAUUUAGACUUGGCCUUUGCAUAAUAAACAAUUAAAGGAAAUCUCAAAAUAACCAGUAAAUGUGAAAAAAAAAAAAAAAUCUCACUUGUAACCAAAGAGGCUCUUAGUGUUCCAUGAGAGAGUUGUCACCUAAACUUGACCUUUGGGCUCAGUCUGAGGCCUGGAAGGUGCUGGGCCCGGUGGACCGAGAUUAGAAUUGUUUUGUGGGGGCACUGUUUACUGCUGUGCCUUGAGAAAUGGCCUGACCAGAGGAUCCAUUCACGUACCUUCUUGUGGGUCCCAGGGCUGCCUGGUCCAGGUAAGCCGUCCCAGUUGGGCCUCCUCCCUCAGUGCUUCAGAGAUGCUGUCCACUGGUCCUGCCAUCACAUGGAAUGGUGUUUCCCUAAUACGGCACACCCAGCAUCACCUUGGACAUUCAUAGCCUUAGGAAAUUCCUGGAAAACUGACAGGAAAGGGAGGGGAAACUGUUUCCCAUUUGCUGCUGUGGUUUGUAAGUUGGUGAGCGGGAUGGUUAAUUUUGUGUCAACUUGGCUAGGCCGUGGUAUCCAGAUAUUUGGUUAAACUUGGUCUGGUUGCUAUGAAGGAAUUUUUCAGAUGAGAUUAACACUUAAAUCAACAGAUUUUGAGUAAAGCAGAUCACCCUCCAUAAUGUGGGUGGGCUUCAUCCAGUCACUUGAGGGCCUUAAGAAAAAGUCUGACAUCCCCUGAGGAAGAGAGAAUUCUGCCAGCAGACUGCCUUCAGGCUCUGAAGUCACAACAUCAACUCUUUGCUGGGUCUUCAGCCUUCAAGCCUGCCCUACAGAUUUUGGACUUGCCAGCCUCUACAAAAAUGAACCAAUUCCUUAAAAUAAACCUCUCUCUUAUUGGUUCUGUUUCUCUGGAGAAUCCUGGCUACUACAGUGAAUAAAGAGCUUAAGUAACCCUACUUUGGGCAUAGACUGAGGCGAGAACUGGGGAGUAGAUAUCUCUACUACUUUUUAUUUGCAUACAUGUAAGAUGGUUUUGUCAAUCAAAUUAGGACUAAAUAGUCCUGAUUUGUGUCAUAUAAUUAAAUACACCAAUAUUUUGUGUUUCGAUGAUCUCCAGAUGUUUUACCACCCACACUCACUUGAAAACCAGUCAUCCGAUUGUACAAGGGAGAUGAGAAUUCUUUUCCCAACCCACUGCCAUGGUUCUCUUCUUAAGCUAAAAAGGCCCUCAGUAGAAGAGGUCUGAUCAAUUUUAUGAAGUAUUUUCGGGAAUGUAAUGAUAUAAUCCUAAAACUGAGCAUUUGUACAGUGUAUCACAAUUUAAUAAAGUGCUUUCAUGUAUAGUGUUCUAAAUUCUUCUAAAUAACUAUAUGAGUUAGGUAACAGACGUAUGAUUAUAACUCCCUCUAUUUUGCAAAAGAAGAAACUGAGGAUCAAGAAGUUAAGCAUGUACAUGUUAUACAACUGGUCUAUUCAGUGAGUCUGCGGCAAAGCCAGG
rnacentral:lncRNA from 1 species